UUUUAGGUAAAAUUUAAAGCUCAUAUAUUUUCGAAAAUACGGUUCGAAAGUUUCUACAAAGCAACCUUAAAUUGCUUUACUAUGAGUGAAUAUGCUGUUUUU
rnacentral:ncRNA from 2 species